rnacentral:rRNA from 1 species
GACGAACGCUGGCGGCGUGCCUAAUACAUGCAAGUUGAGCGCUGAAGGUUGGUACUUGUACCAACUGGAUGAGCAGCGAACGGGUGAGUAACGCGUGGGGAAUCUGCCUUUGAGCGGGGGACAACAUUUGGAAACGAAUGCUAAUACCGCAUAACAACUUGAAACACAAGUUUUAAGUUUGAAAGAUGCAAUUGCAUCACUCAAAGAUGAUCCCGCGUUGUAUUAGCUAGUUGGUGAGGUAAAGGCUCACCAAGGCGAUGAUACAUAGCCGACCUGAGAGGGUGAUCGGCCACAUUGGGACUGAGACACGGCCCAAACUUCUUCGGGAGGCAGCAGUAGGGAAUCUUCGGAAAUGGACGAAAGUCUGACCGAGCAACGCCGCGUGAGUGAAGAAGGGUUUCGGAUCGUAAAACUCUGUUGGUAGGGAAGAACGUUGGUGAGAGUGGAAAGCUCAUCAAGUGACGGUAACUACCCAGAAAGCGACGGCUAACUACGUG